GAUGAAGAACGUAGCGAAAUGCGAUAAGUAAUGUGAAUUGCAGAAUUCAGUGAAUCAUCGAAUCUUUGAACGCACAUUGCGCCCCUUGGUAUUCCGAGGGGCAUGCCUGUUCGAGCGUCAUUAUAACCCCUCAAGCUCAGCUUGGUGUUGGGGCCUGCUGCACUGGCAGCCCUUAAAAUCAGUGGCGGCGCCAUCUGGCUCUAAGCGUAGUAAUUCUUCUCGCUAUGGAGUCCUGGUGGAUGCUUGCCAUCAACCCCCAAUUUUUCUAUGGUUGACCUCGGAUCAGGUAGGGAUACCCGCUGAACUUAAGCAUACAAUAAGCGGAGGA
rnacentral:misc_RNA from 1 species